UGAGGAAUUUUGCGCAAUGGCCGCAAGGCUGACGCAGCAACGCCGCGUGGGUGAUGAAGGCCUUCGGGUCGUAAAGCCCUGUCAGGUGGGAAGAAAGGUGCCUUUUCGAAUAGGAAGGGUAUUUGACGGUACCACCAGAGGAAGCACCGGCUAACUCCGUGCCAGCAGCCGCGGUAAUACGGAGGGUGCGAGCGUUAUUCGGAAUUACUGGGCGUAAAGCGCGUGCAGGCGGGAAGGUAAGUCUGAUGUGAAAGCCCCGGGCUCAACCCGGGAAGUGCAUUGGAAACUGCUUUUCUUGAGUACUGGAGAGGAAGGGGGAAUUCCCGGUGUAGAGGUGAAAUUCGUAGAGAUCGGGAGGAAUACCAGUGGCGAAGGCGCCCUUCUGGACGGUUACUGACGCUGAGACGCGAAAGCGUGGGGAGCAAACAGG
rnacentral:rRNA from 1 species